GUACAAUAAAUUCGUAGACCACAACAUGAAGACAGUCCAAGGUGAUGGGCAGUUUACAAUGCUUCAUGUGACCGUGGGGCCCUCACCUCCCACCUUAACGGAAGGAACCCCCACAGCCUCCGUGAAGAAGGAAGAGGGGCGGGCUGAACGGGCCCAGGUGUCCUCCGCUCUGGUGAUGGUCAGCGCCCUGGCCGCCGGCGCCGUGGUCCUGCUCUGCAUCGUAA